rnacentral:rRNA from 1 species
GAAACCAGGUGAUCUACCCAUGUCCAGGAUGAAGGUAAGGUAAUACUUACUGGAGGUCCGAACCCACGCACGUUGAAAAGUGCGGGGAUGAGGUGUGGGUAGCGGAGAAAUUCCAAUCGAACUUGGAGAUAGCUGGUUCUCUCCGAAAUAGCUUUAGGGCUAGCCUCGAGGUAAAGAGUCAUGGAGGUAGAGCACUGUUUGGACUAGGGGCCCUUCUCGGGUUACCGAAUUCAGAUAAACUCCGAAUGCCAUGUACUUAUACUCGGGAGUCAGACUGCGAGUGAUAAGAUCCGUAGUCGAAAGGGAAACAGCCCAGACCACCAGUUAAGGUCCCCAAAUAUAUGUUAAGUGGAAAAGGAUGUGGGGUUGCUUAGACAACCAGGAUGUUGGCUUAGAAGCAGCCACCAUUGAAAGAGUGCGUAAUAGCUCACUGGUCGAGUGACCCCGCGCCGAAAAUGUACCGGGGCUAAACAUAUUACCGAAACUGUGGAUGAACCUCUUUAGAGGUUCGUGGUAGGAGAGCGUUCUAAGGGCGGUGAAGUCAGACCGGAAGGACUGGUGGAGCGCUUAGAAGUGAGAAUGCCGGUAUGAGUAGCGAAAGAAGGGUGAGAAUCCCUUCCACCGAAUAUCUAAGGUUUCCUGAGGAAGGCUCGUCCGCUCAGGGUUAGUCGGGACCUAAGCCGAGGCCGAUAGGCGUAGGCGAUGGACAACAGGUAGAGAUUCCUGUACCAGUGCUAAUUGUUUAACCGAUGGGGUGACACAGAAGGAUAGGGAAUCGCACGAAUGGAAAUGUGCGUCCAAGCAGUGAGUGUGAGAAGUAGGCAAAUCCGCUUCUCGCGAAGCAUGAGCUGUGAUGGGGAAGGAAAUUAAGUACGGAAGUUCCUGAUUUCACGCUGUCAAGAAAAGCCUCUAGGAAGAGUAGUACUGCCCGUACCGCAAACCGACACAGGUAGAUGAGGAGAGAAUCCUAAGGUGAGCGAGAGAACUCUCGUUAAGGAACUCGGCAAAAUGACCCCGUAACUUCGGGAGAAGGGGUGCUCUAUUAGGGUGCAAGCCCGAGAGAGCCGCAGUGAAUAGGCCCAGGCGACUGUUUAGCAAAAACACAGGUCUCUGCAAAACCGUAAGGUGACGUAUAGGGGCUGACGCCUGCCCGGUGCUGGAAGGUUAAGAGGAGUGCUUAGCUUCGGCGAAGGUACGAAUUGAAGCCCCAGUAAACGGCGGCCGUAACUAUAACGGUCCUAAGGUAGCGAAAUUCCUUGUCGGGUAAGUUCCGACCCGCACGAAAGGCGCAACGAUCUGGGCACUGUCUCAACGAGAGACUCGGUGAAAUUAUAGUACCUGUGAAGAUGCAGGUUACCCGCGACAGGACGGAAAGACCCCGUGGAGCUUUACUGCAACCUGAUAUGGAAUGUUUGUACCGCUUGUACAGGAUAGGUAGGAGCCGAAGAGACGUGUGCGCUAGCAUACGAGGAGGCAAUGGUGGGAUACUACCCUGGCUGUAUGACCAUUCUAACCCGCCACGCUUAGCGCGUGGGGAGACAGUGUCAGGUGGGCAGUUUGACUGGGGCGGUCGCCUCCUAAAGAGUAACGGAGGCGCCCAAAGGUUCCCUCAGAAUGGAUGGAAAUCAUUCGCAGAGUGUAAAGGCACAAGGGAGCUUGACUGCGAGACUGACAAGUCGAGCAGGGACGAAAGUCGGGCUUAGUGAUCCGGUGGUUCCGCAUGGAAGGGCCAUCGCUCAACGGAUAAAAGCUACCCCGGGGAUAACAGGCUUAUCUCCCCCAAGAGUCCACAUCGACGGGGAGGUUUGGCACCUCGAUGUCGGCUCGUCGCAUCCUGGGGCUGUAGUCGGUCCCAAGGGUUGGGCUGUUCGCCCAUUAAAGCGGCACGCGAGCUGGGUUCAGAACGUCGUGAGACAGUUCGGUCCCUAUCCGUCGCGGGCGCAGGAAAUUUGAGAGGAGCUGUCCUUAGUACGAGAGGACCGGGAUGGACACACCGCUGGUGUACCAGUUGUUCCGCCAGGAGCAUCGCUGGGUAGCUAUGUGUGGCAGGGAUAAACGCUGAAAGCAUCUAAGCGUGAAGCCCCCCUCAAGAUGAGAUUUCCCAUUUCUUCGGAAAGUAAGAUCCCUGAAAGAUGAUCAGGUAGAUAGGUUUGGAGUGGAAGUGUAGCGAUACAUGGAGCGGACAAAUACUAAUCGAUCGAGGACUUAACCAAAA